AUGUGCAGAGGGGGCUUCGUGCAAUAUGGCCUUGAGAAUUCAGUUCUGUCGCAGGUCCUCUCGCUCCUGCAAUCCUGGGCUCUGUUACUUCUCAACCUCUUCACUCAGGACACAGGGUCUUGGGCCCAGUCCUCCCCGACUCAGCCGUCCUCAGUGUCUGGGGCUCUGGGACAGACAGUUACCAUCUCUUGCACUGGAACCAGCAAUGACAUUGUGAGGUAUAAUGAUGUCUCCUGGUAUCAACAGCUCCCAGACAUGUCCCCCAAACUCCUGACUUAUAGUGUAAGUUCACGUCCAUCAGGGAUCCCUGAUCGCUUCUCUGGCUCCAAGUCUGGCAACACGGCCUCCCUGACCAUCUCUAGGCUCCAGGCUGAAGAUGAGCUGAUUAUUACUGUGCCUCAUAUAGAAGUGGUAGCACUUAUCACAGUGGUCCAAGUUCAUGGGGAGAGAUCCCUGAUCGCUAUUCUGGCUCCAAGUCUGGAAAAACAGCCUCCCUGACCAUCUACACACUCCAGGCUAAAGAUGAGGCUCAUUAUUACUGCUGGUAG